GACGAACGCUGGCGGCGCGCCUAACACAUGCAAGUCGAACGAGCGAGAGAGAGCUUGCUUUCUCAAGCGAGUGGCGCACGGGUGAGUAACGCGUGAGGAACCUGCCUCAAAGAGGGGGACAACAGUUGGAAACGACUGCUAAUACCGCAUAAGACCACGACCCGGCAUCGGGUAGAGGGAAAAGGAGCAAUCCGCUUUGAGAUGGACUCGCGUCCGAUUAGCUAGAUGGUGAGGUAACGGCCCACCAAUGCGACGAUCGGUAGACGGACUGAGAGGUUGAGCCGCCACACUUGGACUAGGCCGCAGCCCAGACUCCUACGGGAGGCAGCAGUGGGUAAUAUUGCACCAUCGCGGGAACGCUGAUGCAGCGACGCCGCGUGGAGGCAGAAGGUCUUCGGAUUGUAAACUCCUGUUGUUGAGGAAGAUAAUGACGGUACUCAACAAGGAAGUGACGGCUAACUACGUG
rnacentral:rRNA from 1 species